GUCAGGAACCCCACGGCUUAAGCCGGGGGUACCGAAAUUGUCCAUACCUGACCAGCCUAAGACCUACGCGGUCUACGUUAUGCCUAACUCUACAAAUAUGCAGUCGUGUA
rnacentral:sRNA from 21 species